GGUAGCGUGGCCGAGUUGGUCUAAGGCGUUGGAUUUAAGAUUCUUCCCUCGAUUCUUGCUUCCCAAUGAAGGUGACUUCGCGCGAGUUCGAAUCUCGCCGCUACCA